rnacentral:rRNA from 1 species
AUUGAACGCUGGCGGCAGGCCUAACACAUGCAAGUCGAGCGGAUGAAGGGAGCUUGCUCCUGGAUUCAGCGGCGGACGGGUGAGUAAUGCCUAGGAAUCUGCCUGGUAGUGGGGGAUAACGUCCGGAAACGGGCGCUAGUACCGCAUACGUCCUGAGGGAGAAAGUGGGGGAUCUUCGGACCUCACGCUAUCAGAUGAGCCUAGGUCGGAUUAGCUAGUUGGUGGGGUAAAGGCCUACCAAGGCGACGAUCCGUAACUGGUCUGAGAGGAUGAUCAGUCACACUGGAACUGAGACACGGUCCAGACUCCUACGGGAGGCAGCAGUGGGGAAUAUUGGACAAUGGGCGAAAGCCUGAGCCAGCCAUGCCGCGUGUGUGAAGAAGGUCUUCGGAUUGUAAAGCACUUUAAGUUGGGAGGAAGGGCAGUAAGUUAAUACCUUGCUGUUUUGACGUUACCAACAGAAUAAGCACCGGCUAACUUCGU